AGUGAGUUGGCAGAAUAGUGCAACCGACUUAGGAUCGGUAAAUGGGGUAACCCACCCACUA
rnacentral:tRNA from 4 species